AUUGAACGCUGGCGGCAUGCCUUACACAUGCAAGUCGAACGGCAGCACGGGAGCAAUCCUGGUGGCGAGUGGCGAACGGGUGAGUAAUAUAUCGGAACGUGCCCAGUCGUGGGGGAUAACGUAGCGAAAGCUACGCUAAUACCGCAUACGAUCUAUGGAUGAAAGCGGGGGAUCGCAAGACCUCGCGCGAUUGGAGCGGCCGAUAUCAGAUUAGGUAGUGGUGAGGUAAAGGCUCGCCAAGCCGACGAUCUGUAGCUGGUCUGAGAGGACGACCAGCCACACUGGGACUGAGACACGGCCCAGACUCCUACGGAGGCAGCAGUGGGGAAUUUUGGGACAA
rnacentral:rRNA from 1 species